GGGACUGUGGUGGAAGCUAGGGAGGAACUCUAGUUUGGCAGACACAGAUACAAAUCUCCUUAACCAGCAGGAGCUAACGGUUUCCGGGUGGACGCACCCAUGCAGGGUUCGAAUCCCUGCCAGUCCCA
rnacentral:tRNA from 1 species